UCCGGAAAAGGAACAGUGAUGAUCGAACAAAAAAAAACAAAAAAAAAAACAAAAACACACAACUACACACAAUCAGCCAAACAGCAACAAAACAUCAUUCUAUCAUCCUAUCGAAAACCUGUUUCGUGUUUUCCUCCCCUCCAUUUCCACAUUCUCUCUUUUUUUUCUUUCUUUCUUUCUUUCU
rnacentral:ribozyme from 1 species